AAGUUCUUAAUUCUCCCCUUUUCUCCUGUGUUUAUAAUCUCCUGCCAAAACCACAACAAAGCUGAAUCACAGAAAAACAGGAACUGAACUUCAAGCAUGUUAGAGUAUGUUAGUUUAGGGAUUAAUUCAGAGAGAAAACCGUAGUAAUCGGUGUGCCGGCAUACUGCAUAUCACCUAUGCGUGUCGUCUCCCUCCUCAUCUCAGUGUACUGUAAGCACGCGCACAACCAUGGAGGCGCGAACAUGGAUAGAGGAGGAUCCCUCGCGUGAAUGAAGAUGCAGAGGGGAGCGAGGCGUCGGCUAGUGGCCCCAGCUUGGACACCGUGAGUUGUGGAGGGGCGUCGAACUGCAUGGGUAAUGAGAGAGGGUUGCGGCAUCAGCGGGAGUGCACGCCGGCCGGAUCCAGUGGGGUGACGGCCGUGGCUACCCCAACCUCCAUUGUGGUCUUCGGCUAUGCUCGGAGUGACGCCAUGGAUCUCCGGUGGAUCUGGAGCUGCACUGCAUCACUGUUAGGGGCCAAACUGCACACCCAGGAAGAAGUCCACGGCCGGAUCUCGCCGGGAUCCGAUGAUUUCCCGGGGCGCCGCCACAGGAGGUAGUCUUGGUGGGCCAGGCGACUUGCCGAAGGGGUAGGUUGGAGCGGCGGAGUAGGAGGUGUUGAAGGAGAUGGAGGAGUCAGAGCUGGAGAGGUCGACGCUGUCGUGGGGGUAGGAGAAGGGGGCCCAGGAGAAGAGCUGCCGCGACGGGCCUCCACCGUGGGGACUGGUGGAGGCUGGAGACCACCAUGGGCCUUUGCCCUCCGCCGUUGAACUCCACCGAGAUGAGCAUGGGACCGUGCGGAUCCCGCCGGAUCCGACACCGCGAGGGGUGUGGUGGUGCCGCGGGGGAGGGUGGCGGUGCGGUGGUGGCUGCGAGGGAGGCUGGCGGCGCGGGCCAUGAGGUGGCGGCCGAGGUGGGUUGUGGGGGUGAUGACACGAUGUGGUGGGGAGGGGAUGCACGGCAGCCGUCGGGCGUGGCUUGGGGCAAGGUGGCGAUGUGGGGUGGGGAAGGAGAAGCACGGAGGCCGUGUGGAGAGGAGGCUCAGCUGUGGCUAGCUGGUGGCGUGGGGCCCUGGCGGUUUCAGGGCAAGGCGGAGGUGGCUGCGGUGGCUCGGCGGAUCGGGGCGGCGGCGUAGAGGAAGGCAGGGCGAUGCGGGGCUGUGGCAACUACAGGAGGAAGAAGGUGGGAGAGGAGGUGGGUUGUGUGUGGGCGUGCGGGUGGG
rnacentral:rRNA from 1 species